rnacentral:rRNA from 1 species
UACGGAGGGGGCUAGCGUUGUUCGGAAUUACUGGGCGUAAAGCGCGCGUAGGCGGCUUUGUAAGUCAGAGGUGAAAGCCUGGAGCUCAACUCCAGAACUGCCUUGAAACUACAUCGCUAGAAUCAUGGAGAGGUUAGUGGAAUUCCGAGUGUAGAGGUGAAAUUCGUAGAUAUUCGGAAGAACACAGUGGCGAAGGCGACUAACUGGACAUGUAUUGACGCUGAGGUGCGAAAGCGUGGGGAGCAAACAGG